CGAUGACAAAGCAGAGGGACAGAGAGAAAGAGAUCUGAAGAUGCCACCCUGCUGGCUUUGAAGAUGGAAAAAGGGCCAAAAGCCAAGAGAUGUAGGUGGCCUCUGGAAGCUGAAGGGGCAAGGAAACAGAUCUCCCCUGGAGCCUCUAGAAGGACCUGGCUCUACCAACAUCUUGACCUUGGCCCAGCGAGCCUGGUCCCAGAUGUCUGGCCUCCAGAGCCGAGAGAGGACACAUUUGUGUUGUUGGAAGGCACUGCAUUUGUGGUGAUUUGUUACAGCAGCCACAGGACGCUAAACAACCACUGAGUCAGCCCGUCCCCUGCAGCUCUCUCAGCGGCAGCCUGGUUCCCGAAAACAGCAAGAAUGAAGCCGGCCUCAUGGAGCUGACACCUGGCAGGGUACAUCAUCGAGCAGUGGGCAGUUGCAACGCAUCGCAGGGGACACCUGCGGCUGGCGACACGGAGAAGGGCCCCCGCUCAGCCUGAAGCAUCAGGGAAGACUUGCUCAACAAGGGCUGCUUCAGCAGAGGCUGGGAAGAUGAAUAGGACUUAACCGGGAGGAAAAGGGAAGGGGGGAUACCAAACAGAGGGAGCAGUGAGUGCAAAGGCCUGGAGGUGAGAGAGAGCCCAAUCAUUUGAGCAACUGAAGUGAUACAGCCCGGACAGAGGACAGGGUUUGAAGGGGAAACGAUAGAAGCCUGUGGUGCAACGGUUAGGCGUCGAGCUCUGGUCCUGGGAGGUUUAAACACAGCUACAGCACAGAGCAAAGGGCUCAAGAAAUCUGUCAUUUGGGGCUGGCCUGGUGGUGCAGCGGUUGGGUGCACACGCUCCACUUCGGUGGCCCGGGGUUCACCAGUUUGGAUCCCCGGUGCAGACAUGGCACUACUUGGCAAGCCAUGCUGUGGAGAGCAGCAGCUGGAGGAGUAGGGAAGGAGGGUCUGGUGCUUCCUGCUUCUCGCCAUGGUGGGCUCACUGGUUUUAGGUCAGCCUUCCCACCCAGAACACCUAGAAGUGGCCCAGAAAGAUGCGCCUGAAAUUGGGAGUUGCUUUUCCCCUCAAGGUGUGUACUGACUGGGGCCGUGGAGAGGCUGAGAAGCUGGCAGAGCUUUGGUGUCUCAAAGUCUCGGGGAACAAAAAUUGGAGUGCAGGACCCAUCAUGGUGGCCGAUCUGUGAAAAAUGCCCCAGGCUUUAAGGGGAAUUCUAAUAACUGUGAUUAAUACAUUCAGGAAGUUAGAUAACGAGAAUUUCAGCAGGAAACUGGAAACUAGAGAAAAGAAUCAAGUGGAAGUUCCAAGACUGAAAAAUACAAUACGAAAAUUCAGAUUUGCAGUUAAGAUCACAGGCUCUGAUCAGAGGCCACCGUGCCCGGGUUAGUCCUAGCCCCAGCCUUUGCUAUGUCCAAUGCCAGUCCUUGUUUCUGUUUUAUUGGUGGAAUUCACACGACGUACAUGGAGGCAUUUGAGAGUGCACGGUUCAGUGGUUU
ensembl:lncRNA